rnacentral:rRNA from 1 species
GACGAACGCUGGCGGCGUGCUUAACACAUGUAAGUCGAACGGAAAGGCCCUGCUUUUGUGGGGUGCUCGAGUGGCGAACGGGUGAGUAACACGUGAGUAACCUGCCCUUGACUUUGGGAUUACUUCAGGAAACUGGGGCUAAUACCGGAUAGGAGCUCCUGCUGCAUGGUGGGGGUUGGAAAGUUUCGGCGGUUGGGGAUGGACUCGCGGCUUAUCAGCUUGUUGGUGGGGUAGUGGCUUACCAAGGCUUUGACGGGUAGCCGGCCUGAGAGGGUGACCGGCCACAUUGGGACUGAGAUACGGCCCAGACUCCUACGGGAGGCAGCAGUGGGGAAUAUUGCACAAUGGGCGGAAGCCUGAUGCAGCAACGCCGCGUGCGGGAUGACGGCCUUCGGGUUGUAAACCGCUUUCGCCUGUGACGAAGCGUGAGUGACGGUAAUGGGUAAAGAAGCACCGGCUAACUACGUG